CUAAAUGUGGUGUUCCUUCCUGGUACUCUCCAGUUUCCCUCGUGGGGGUCCCUCUCUUCCUUCAGAACCUGACACCCCAAGCCGAAGCCUUCUCCUGCUCACCUGGACGCCCCGCCAGUUUCCUGACCCGCUGCCCGAGGUUCUUUCCCGUCUCCGAGCCUCCUGGCCUGCAUGUCGACGGCUUCCUGCUGUGGCUUUGGACCCACGGUCACCUACCUCCUGAUGCAAGAGCCCCACCUGUGAUCCCCCGACCCCCCCCAACUGAAGCAUCCACCAGGCUUUCGGGAUCACAGACCUCCUCCCCGAGGCUCUGUUGUAGGACAUGCCUCCAAGAGUCUGGAUGCGGUAGGAAGUGCUCCCUGCCCCGUCCCCUCCGGGGAUCCAGACGUUUACCCAACAACGUCAGGAGGAGUGGGGUUGGGCGGCUCGGCUGUGUCCCUCCACGCUGUUCCCCACACUCCAGGGCUGCAGCCUGUUCAUUACUUCUCCCAACACAAGACUGCGGGGACACUGCUGUGUCUGCAGGUCCGUACCGAAGGGACCGACGUGCUGUGUCUGAGAUGAGUGUCUGCGGGAACGGUGCGGGACACACUUGUGUGCUCAGCUCGCCUCUGACCCCGAGUUCCUGGAACACGGCUGUGGACACGGUGCCUGAGAGGAGCAAUGCGGAGGCCGGGAGAGCCGGGCUGACCACGGCGGGGGCGCCGAGAGCCAGCAGCCGCCAUGGACCCCAGCCACCGCCCAUGCCCUCCCUGCACCUGGCUACACCCCAGGUCAUGCCCCCCACACACCUUGUUACUUUGGUUUCUAAACACCAGACUAUUUAUCAAGUGUUGUAACCAAGUUUUCCCAGGAAAUAGGCAGUGUGUUGGAGUUCAGGGGUGAUACCCAACUGCACCUGUUUCUCAUGGUGAAUUCUAAACCAAAAGGAGUCUGUGAGAGAUGCUUUCGCAGAGCCCUCGGGGUGGGGAGAGCCUGCCACGUGAGAAGAACACUGGCCAGGAGCGGAGGAGACAGCAAGGGCAGCAAGGAGGGCAGGCCCCAUGGAGCAGGGACCUCAGCCUUGCCCCUUGGAGGGCACUGCCUCGUGGGGGCCGUGGAUGCUGCGUCCAGACCCCCCUCCCACCGUCCUUGGGGAGAGGGCUGAGAGGUAGGCUGCACUAGGCUCUGGUGGAAACUUCUUCAUGGAAACGAGGGUCCACACAAUGUGCACUGUGACUGGGGCUCCCCGAACCAACCUUCUUAGCUCGUCCUGAAGCUCUGAGCAGUCCCUUCUUUUUGUCCGAGACCCCUUGAUUCUGGGAAGGGGACACUGCCACAGCUCCCUUGGGCUCCUUUCUUUCUGGGCCUCUCCCUGCUCUCUCCCAUUUCCCCACCACGCCGGCUUGAUGCCUCCUCCCAGGAGAGCUGCUUUCAUCAAAGGACAAGGACGGGCGAGAGGAGGCGUCCGCAGCAUUUCAUCUGUAAUUCCUGCGAUGAAUGCGUUUGGUCCGGUCAGUGGGCUGGGCCCAGCUUUGAGGAGCUUUGCAGAGUCAGGACCGGUUCUGUGUGGGUGCUCUGUACUGUCCCUUAGCAGGCGGGAAGAUGGGCCGGCGACUGCUGGAUGUCUGCAGGGACAUGACAGAAGGAACCAGCAUGUCGGGAGAGAACCAACGGUGUGCCACGCCUGCCCCUGGGCGUGUUAUGAGAUGUGCCCUUGAUGGACUGAACGCCAGAGCAUUUUCAACAGAAAGCCUACGUUGGGCCUGACACACCAAUGGGCCAUCAUCCAUUCCUGGAAGAAAAAUUAACAGAGAAUAACAAGAUCGCCACGACCAGCGACCACGAGGGUGAUGACCAGCCCUUGGGACUGCGUGUCAGGCUCGGGAAUAGCACGUCUCUCUUUUGCAAGGAAGCCAUUGCGGUCAGCCCUGUGUUUGGAUUCUGCUCUGGUUCGUGGCACCAUGGAGCUGUAAUAAGAUCCUGUCGGGCGGAUGCUGCCAAGCCCUGGGCCGCUAGGAACUUCUGCUCACCACCCGGGGGAACGCUCGCCUCUUCUUGCUGGAGCGUCUUGGGUUCAUCAGGGAGCCCGACCUGGGAGUCCGGAGACUGAGUGGAAGGUGUGGAAGGCAGACGAGGAAUGUGCACUCUUAGAACCAAGCAGGCUGGGACACAAAUCCCACCUCCUUUACUAUUCAGUGUGCGAAUGUGGACCUCGGAGUCACGCUUGUAGCCCGGUAAUGACAUGUAACCGUGGGGUCAGUGCAGAAGUUUGAGGAUAGGCGGGACAUAGACCAUGAGAAGUCAUAGCAGGGGGGACUUCCCUUCUCCGGGGAAGCCGCAGACCCCCCACCGGGUCACGGCCACCCCCGCACCUGCGUCCUUCUUCAGAACACACACCUGUUAAUCCCACGCCCACUGCCUGGGAGGGGUUAGCGGGGCCCGGAGCGGGGCCAAUCUGUCUGAACGACUCUAAGGGCUAACGUUAAGGAGGAAAAAAAAAUCCCCAUUCCUCCUCAAAAGGAUUAAUUAUUUACUCAUCAAGAAUCAAACUUUACAUUCAUAAAAUCUAAGCCUGGAUCGUGGCUCCAUUACUUUCUCAUUGAAA